rnacentral:rRNA from 1 species
GAUGAACGCUGGCGGCGUGCCUAAUACAUGCAAGUCGAGCGAACGGACGAGAAGCUUGCUUCUCUGAUGUUAGCGGCGGACGGGUGAGUAACACGUGGAUAACCUACCUAUAAGACUGGGAUAACUUCGGGAAGCCGGAGCUAAUACCGGAUAAUAUUUUGAACCGCAUGGUUCAAACGUGAAAGACGGUCUUGCUGUCACUUAUAGAUGGAUCCGCGCUGCAUUAGCUAGUUGGUAAGGUAACGGCUUACCAAGGCAACGAUGCAUAGCCGACCGGAGAGGGGGAUCGGCCACACGGGAACUGAGACACGGUCCAUACUCCUACGGGAGGCAGCAGUAGGGAACCUUCCGCAAUGGGCGAAAGCCUGACGGAGCAACGCCGCGUGAGUGAUGAAGGUCCUCGGAUCGUAAAACUCUGUUAUUAGGGAAGAACAUAUGUGUAAGUAACUGUGCACAUCUUGACGGUACCUAAUCAGAAAGCCACGGCUAACUACGUG